rnacentral:ncRNA from 16 species
AGUAUGCGAUGAAAAACAGGUACCAGUAAUGGUGUAAAAGGGAAUCCGGUUUAAUUCCGGAGCUGUCCCCGCAACUGUAAGUGCAGACGAAUGCCAGGCCACUGUGAAAACGGGAAGGCGGCAGGAGGAUGACGCACGAGCCAGGAGACCUGCCUGUUUUUCUGUAAGCGAC